AUUGAACGCUGGCGGCAGGCUUAACACAUGCAAGUCGAGCGGGGUGAUGGUGCUUGCACUAUCACUUAGCGGCGGACGGGUGAGUAAUGCUUAGGAACCUGCCUAUUAGUGGGGGACAACAUCUCGAAAGGGAUGCUAAUACCGCAUACGUCCUACGGGAGAAAGCAGGGGAUCACUUGUGACCUUGCGCUAAUAGAUGAGCCAAAGUCGGAGUAGCUAGUUGGUGGGGUAAAGGCCUACCAAGGCGACGAGCUGUAGCGGGUGUGAGAGGAUGAUCCGCCACACUGGGACUGAGACACGGCCCAGACUCCUACGGGAGGCAGCAGUGGGGAAUAUUGGACAAUGGGGGGAACCCUGAUCCAGCCAUGCCGCGUGUGUGAAGAAGGCCUUAUGGUUGUAAAGCACUUUAAGCGAGGAGGAGGCUCUUUUGGUUAAUACCCAAGAUGAGUGGACGUUACUCGCAGAAUAAGCACCGGCUAACUCUGUGCCAGCAGCCGCGGUAA
rnacentral:rRNA from 1 species